rnacentral:rRNA from 1 species
UACGUAGGGACCGAGCGUUGUCCGGAUUCAUUGGGCGUAAAGAGCUCGUAGGCGGCUUGUCACGUCGGGUGUGAAAGCCCGGGGCUUAACCCCGGGUCUGCAUUCGAUACGGGCUAGCUAGAGUGUGGUAGGGGAGAUCGGAAUUCCUGGUGUAGCGGUGAAAUGCGCAGAUAUCAGGAGGAACACCGGUGGCGAAGGCGGAUCUCUGGGCCUUGCCUGACGCUGAGGCGCGAAAGCUAGGGGAGCGAACAGG